rnacentral:rRNA from 1 species
CUCAUGAUGAACGCUAGCUACAGGCUUAACACAUGCAAGUCUAGGGGCAGCGGGAUUGAAGCUUGCUUCACUUGCCGGCGACCGGAGCACGGGUGAGUAACGCGUAUCCAACCUUCCGCUUACUCGGGGAUAACCUUUCGAAAGAAAGAUUAAUACCCGAUGGUAUCUUAGGCACGCAUGAUAUUAAGAUUAAACAUUUAUCGGUAAGCGAUGGGGAUGCGUUCCAUUAAGCAGUUGGCGGGGUAACGGCCCACCAAAGCUACGAUGGAUAGGGGUUCUGAUAGGAAGGUCCCCCACAUCGGAACUGACACACGGUCCACACUCCUACGGGAGGCACCAGUGAGGAAUAUUGCUCAAUGGGCGAUACCCUGAACCACCCAGGUAUCGUGAAGGAUGACGGGCCUACCGGUUGUAAACUUCUUAUGUGCGGUAAUACUCGAAUCUAGCUGUACGCUUUCGCAUGUACCGAAUCGAAUAAUCAUCGGCUAACUCCGCGCCAGCAGAUCGCGGUAAUACGGAGGAUGCCAGCGUAAUCCGGAUUUAUAGGGUUUAAAUGGAUCGUAUACCGGUUGGUAAUUCAGCUGUUAUAGUUCGGUGCUCAAACUCUAAAUUGCAGUCGAAACUGUAGACCUUGACUAAGGUUGAUGCAUGCGGAAUUCGUGUUGUACCGGAUAUAUGCUUAGAUAUCACGAAGAACCCCGAUUGCGAAGGCAGCCUGCUAAGCCGCCACUGACGUUGAGGCUCGAAAGUGCGGGUAUCANACAGGAUUAGAUACCCUGGUAGUCCGCACGGUAAACGAUGGAUACUCGCUGUUGGCGAUAGACGGUCAGCGGCCAAGCGAAAGCGUUAAGUAUCCCACCUGGGGAGUACGCCGGCAACGGUGAAACUCAAAGGAAUUGACGGGGGCCCGCACAAGCGGAGGAACAUGUGGUUUAAUUCGAUGAUACGCGAGGAACCUUACCCGGGCUUGAACUGCAGUGGAAUUAUCCGGAAACGGAUAAGCGAGCAAUCGCCGCUGUGGAGGUGCUGCAUGGUUGUCGUCAGCUCGUGCCGUGAGGUGUCGGCUUAAGUGCCAUAACGAGCGCAACCCUUGCUGCCAGUUACUAACAGGUUAUGCUGAGGACUCUGGCAGGACUGCCAUCGUAAGAUGCGAGGAAGGUGGGGAUGACGUCAAAUCAGCACGGCCCUUACGUCCGGGGCUACACACGUGUUACAAUGGGGAGUACAGAGGGCAGCUACCGGGCGACCGGAUGCGAAUCCCGAAAGCUCCUCUCAGUUCGGACUGGAGUCUGCAACCCGGCUCCACGAAGCUGGAUUCGCUAGUAAUCGCGCAUCAGCCACGGCGCGGUGAAUACGUUCCCGGGCCUUGUACACACCGCCCGUCA